rnacentral:lncRNA from 1 species
UUCUGUUCUUUCUCUUUCUAAAAAUUGUUACUUGCUAAUAAAAUUUUUUAUAAAUUCGUGAAUAGGCCUACCAAAUAGCAAAAGGUGCACUAUGAUAGAAAAUCAAUUGUUGCUUGAAUCUCUGGACCUGGUUCAACAUACUUUGAACUAGAUGGAGAAAAAGUUUGGGGAUCACACUUGGAACAACAGGGAACAUAAGAUAGACGAUUUCCACUUUCAGCUUUCCAAUUUUGUUGAGCAACAAUACUCUCUUUGCUGCUAGUCAAUCAACUGUGAAUCUGUGAUCAAGUGUUCCACAUUUGACUUCUCAGGAUAUUUCCCAUUGCCUAUGCCCUAUGCUGCCAACUUUGCUGCAAUUCACAAGUGCUAAGCUGUAGUUGUGUCCAGUUUUUUUUAUUUUUGUACAAUAUUGAGCUCAAGUCCUCAUCACAGUCUCUUCAGUUUGUUGUUUGUCACUGCCAACCAACUGCAUCAGUUUCCACAGUGUCUGGUGAAACAUGGAAAACUUUUCGAAUGAACUCCCCACCACUUGGAUAAUGGAACCAAAUGACUGCCUCCUGCUGUAGCAUGUAGUAAAUUGUUAAAGGACGGACGACGGAACGGGGCGAAGAAAGUCAACACUACUUGGUGGCCAAAUGGGAUCUUCUGUGGAAGGUUUACGAGAAGAGUGGGCAGUUUGUCGCUGCCGCCCAAAGCACGGCCAUUAGCUUUCCGUUGAGGAUCGAGUACCUUUCACGAGCCGUUGUCCGGGCUGAAGCUGCCGAGACGAGUUCAUUAGGCAACGCCUUCCUUCCAAGAGCUGUUUCUCUACCAGAUGCAAGAGAAAAUAGACCUUGCAAAUGUUUAGUCUCAAGUCCUGGAAG